UGAGAAAAGCAGAAGUGAGAGCUUCUCGCCUUGCGACUCGCGUUGCCUGGCCCUACGGAUGAAAGUUUCGAUGAAACCAUCAUAGCGUGCGGGCUUGUGUAAACAGGUCCGCUCUUGUUUUUCUCU
rfam:Streptococcus sp. DD10 genomic scaffold scaffold00001, whole genome shotgun sequence.